rnacentral:rRNA from 1 species
GACAGAGGGUGCAAACGUUGUUCGGAAUUACUGGGCGUAAAGCGCGUGUAGGCGGCGUAGCAAGUCGGGCGUGAAAGCCCACGGCUCAACCGUGGAAGAGCACUCGAAACUGCUGCGCUAGAGUUCUGGAGAGGAAGGCGGAAUGCUUGGUGUAGAGGUGAAAUUCGUAGAUAUCAAGAGGAACACCUGCGGCGAAGGCGGGUUGCUGGGCCGACACUGACGCUGAGGCGCGAAAGCUAGGGGAGCGAACGGG